UGUGGCGGUCGUGGAAUUGCUGGAGUUGACUUUGGAGGUCGUAAAGAACCUCUGCGGUGAAACCUGUGUUGCCUCAUCUUCCCCUGGUAACGGGUGUUCCAUCAUUGGAGGAGCGUAACUUCCGGGUUGUGGGCUCGAGGCACAUCACCUCAGUUGAUGUGUGUAUGUGUUGCACGGGUGUCUGUGUGGUAAGAGUGUGUGCAGGUAGUUUCCAGCAGCAAAGCAGCAGCUGACCAGCGGUACGAUAUUGUGGACUGGCUCUGCAGCCCUUCACUCUCCAGCAGUGAGUAACUGUAUUGGUGUUCCAUCAUUGGAGGAGCGUAACUUCCGGGUUGUGGGCUCGAGGCACAUCACCUCAGGGAGUGGUCUGCUGCUGCUUUGCUGCUUGCUGGUUUUGCUGUGUACUUCGCGGUUCAACUUGCUGCCGGCCCGAAACUUUGUGCUGUUUGCUACGCUACCUGCUGUUUGCUACGCUACCUGCUCUCGGCCGCGCCACCUCACUGGUUCUGCUGUUCUCUCUCGCUGCUCUGCUACUCCUCUACGGCUUCUUCCUGUCGGGAGAUCAGUGUGCUUGCCGCUUGUGGUGUUUGUUGUCUGGGUGAGUCUGUAUGCGUGUUUCAAACGUGGUUAGCGUAAGCGUGCGUGUGUAGUGUAACCUAGCAUCAAUAUUUGGUUCCUGCAUAGCGAAUGUGUGUAUGUGUGUGACUGUCGUCCACGGGCGCUUUCUUGUUUGUUUGGUUGUCUGUCUGUCUGUCUGUCUGUCUCUGUCUGUCUGUCCGCCUGUCAGUGUGUAUACUUUUUGUAUUGUCUUUUAUUGUUUCUGUG